rnacentral:piRNA from 1 species
UUCCUGAUUACCUUGAAGUCUAGAGGC